GACAAGCCUCGCGCCGUCGCGCGGUGCCUGUGUACUGUGAGUCAGUGAGUGUGACUGUCUGUGUCGCGCACGCUACGCUACCUCCUGUGACCGUGAGAGGGGGAGGGGGUAUUUAACUGACGGCGGGACGAGGAUGCAAGCUCUCGCGGCAGCAGCAACUGCAGUGGCGGCGCCUACCCCCGCGCGCCUCCGUCUCCCGCUCCUCUUCCGCGCCCCGCGCUCCGGUCACUGUAGACCCGCUUCUUCCUCCAGGCUUCUGCGGAUCUCGUGCAGUGCCACCACUAUGGGAGACGAGACCUCGACCUCCGUUGCUCCUCAGGAGCAGGAAUCCACUGUGCGGGCUGGGAGUGUCAAGCAACAGCUCUCCAGGCUGGUCCUUUCAUCCCUCCAGACUACAUUGCCCGAUGUGGAGGUAGAACCGAUGGUUGAAGUUUCAGCAAAGUUUGCUGACUACCAGUGCAACAAUGCUAUGGGAUUAUGGUCAAAGGUUAAAGGAUCUGGAACAAUUUUCAAAAACCCUAAUUCCAUUGGGCAGGCCAUUGCCAAGAAUCUGCCGUCUUCUGAUAUUAUUGAAUCUGCAUCUGUUGCUGGACCUGGUUUUGUGAACAUUACCUUAUCAAACCGCUGGGUUGCACAGAGAAUACAAGAUAUGCUUGUUAACGGCAUCAAGACUUGGGCACCAGUUCUGCCAGUAAAUAGGACAGUGGUUGAUUUUUCAUCACCUAAUAUUGCAAAGGAAAUGCAUGUGGGACAUUUAAGGUCUACAAUUAUUGGAGAUACAUUAGCACGCAUGUUUGAGUUCUCGAAUGUUGUUGUUCUGCGCAGAAACCAUGUGGGAGAUUGGGGUACACAGUUUGGGAUGCUAAUAGAAUAUCUUUUUGAGAAAUUUCCAAAUUGGCAGGAGAUAGGUUGCCAGGCCAUUGGGGACCUUCAGAUUUUCUAUAAAGCAUCCAAGCAUAGGUUUGACAGUGAUCCAGACUUUAAAGCAAGGGCUCAACAAGGAGUUGUUCGGCUACAGGGAGGGGAGGAUAAAUAUCGAGAAGCAUGGAAAAAAAUUUGUGACAUUAGCAGGAGCGAAUUUGACUUGGUCUACAAGCGCCUAAAUGUGGUGCUUGAAGAAAAGGGGGAGAGUUUCUAUAAUCCUUAUAUUCCUCAAGUGCUGGAGGAAUUGAGUAACAAAGGCUUGAUCAAGGAGAGUGAGGGUGCCCGAGUUAUAUUUAUUCAAGGUCAUCAAAUCCCUUUGAUUGUUGUUAAGAGUGAUGGUGGCUUCAACUAUGCCUCAACAGACUUAACUGCUCUUUGGUAUCGGCUCAAUGUUGAGCAGGCAGAGUGGAUCAUAUAUGUUACAGAUGUUGGUCAGCAGCAGCACUUUGACAUGGUUUUCAGUGCUGCAAAGAUGGCCGGUUGGCUCCCAGAUCCAAGUGAAAAGAAGUUUCCGAAAACAAGCCAUGUUGGAUUUGGUCUUGUUCUUGGUUCAGAUGGCAAGCGGUUCCGAACCCGCAGUACUGAGGUUGUUCGAUUGGUAGAGCUACUUGAUGAGGCUAAAUCUCGGAGCAAAUCAGAACUACUACAACGGCUCACUGAAAAUGGCAAAAUUGUUGACUGGACGGAUGAGGAAUUAGAGCAAACUUCAGAGGCUGUUGGAUAUGGUGCUGUGAAGUAUGUUCUGGAAUGUCUUGUUUUAGAAAGAUGGCACCUCUUGAUUUGACUAAGCAAUAACUAAGUACGCUGAUCUAAAAAAUAACAGGCUCACUAAUUACACAUUUAGUUUUGAACAAAUGCUGAGCGAUAAGGGAAAUACUGCUGUGUACCUUCAGUAUGCACAUGCUCGUAUUUGUUCCAUUAUUCGGAAAUCCAACAAGAACGUGGAAGAGCUGAAGAUGAGUGGAGCCAUUUCUCUCGACCAUCCGGAUGAGCGCGUGUUGGGGCUGUAUCUUAUCCGAUUUGCAGAGGUUGUUGAAGAGGCAUGCACGAAUCUACUUCCAAAUGUUGUGUGUGAAUACUUGUACAAUCUAUCUGAAAUGUUCACAAAAUUCUAUACCAACUGCCAGGUGGUUGGGUCGCCGGAGGAGACGAGCCGGUUGUUGCUUUGCCAGGCGACUGCUGUUGUCAUGCGACAGUGCUUCAACCUGCUCGGGAUCACGCCAGUAUACAAGCUGUGAUUGGCUGCAUGUUCGAUUAAUACAUUCAACAUGUAGAAACCCCAAUUCAUCAUGGUUGCAGUUUUGGUCUUGUAACCUAGUUGAGGCAGUUAACAUAAUCUACUGUCCUGUUUGAAAACAGAAGGAACUCAAAAGGUUGUAUCAAAAUGUGCUUGCAGAGUUUCUGUUACUGUUAGGCUA